GAUGAACGCUGGCGGCGUGCCUAAUACAUGCAAGUCGAGCGAACAGACGAGGAGCUUGCUCCUCUGACGUUAGCGGCGGACGGGUGAGUAACACGUGGAUAACCUACCUAUAAGACUGGGAUAACUUCGGGAAACCGGAGCUAAUACCGGAUAAUAUAUUGAACCGCAUGGUUCAAUAGUGAAAGACGGUUUUGCUGUCACUUGUAGAUGGAUCCGCGCCGCAUUAGCUUGUUGGUAAGGUAGUGGCUUACCAAGGCUUCGACGCGUAGCCGGCCUGGGAGGGUGACCGGCCACAUGGGGACUGCGAUACGGCCCAGCCUCCUCCGGGAGGCAGUAGUGGGGAAUAUUGCACAAUGGGCGGAAGCCUUAUGGAGCAACGACGCGUGCGGGAUGACGGCCUUCGGUUUGUAAACCGCUUUCGCCUGUGACGAAGCGUGAGUGACGGUAAUGGGUAAAGAAGCACCGGCUAACUAUGUG
rnacentral:rRNA from 1 species